UAUGGAAAACAGGUCAAUAUUCCUGUGCCCGGUGUGACUGCGAUGGGGUGACGGAGAAGGCUAGGUCAGCGGGAACUGGUUUCCCGUUUAAGCAUGUAGGAGGAGUUGCCAGGUAAAUCCGGUGACUCAUUCAACUCCAAGGUGUGAUGACGAGGUCCUACUGGACCGAAGUGACUAACGCCCCGCUUCCAGGAAAAGCCUCUAAGCUUCAGGUCACAUUGGACCGUACCGCAAACCGACACUGGUGGGCGAGCAGAUAAUCUGCCAAGGCGCUUGACAGAACUCGGGUUAAGGAACUCUGCAAAUUGAUACCGUAACUUCGGAAGAAGGUAUGCCUUCGACGGUGUAGGGAUUUACUCCCGAAGCUGUUGAAGGUCGCAGGUAAUCGGUGGCUGCAACUGUUUAUCAAAAACACAGGACUCUGCGAACACGCAAGUGGAUGUAUAGGGUCUGACUCCUGCCCGGUGCCGGAAGGUUAAUUGAUGGGGUCAGCCGCAAGGCGAAGCUCUUGAUCGAAGCCCCGGUAAACGGCGGCCGUAACUAUAACGGUCCUAAGGUAGCGAAAUUCCUUGUCGGGUAAGUUCCGACCUGCACGAAUGGAGUAAUGAUAGCCACACUGUCUCGACCCGAGACUCAGUGAAGUUGAAAUCGCUGUGAAGAUGCGGCGUUCCCGCGGCAAGACGGAAAGACCCCGUGAACCUUCACUACAGCUUUACACUGAACUUUGAACCUUUUUGUGUAGGAUAGGUGGGAGGCUAUGAAACUUGGGCGCUAGCUCAGGUGGAGCCAACCUUGAAAUACCACCCUGAAAUGUUCGGAGUUCUAACCUUGUCCCGUAAUCCGGGAUGGGGACAGUGUAUGGUGGGUAGUUUGACUGGGGCGGUCUCCUCCCAAAGAGUAACGGAGGAGUGCAAAGGUACGCUCAGCGCGGUCGGUCAUCGCGCUCUAGAGUGCAAAGGCAUAAGCGUGCUUAACUGCGAGACGGACAUGUCGAGCAGGUACGAAAGUAGGUCUUAGUGAUCCGGUGGUUCUGUAUGGAAGGGCCAUCGCUCAACGGAUAAAAGGUACUCCGGGGAUAACAGGCUUAUUCCUCCCAAGAGUCCACAUCGACGGAGGAGUUUGGCACCUCGAUGUCGGCUCAUCACAUCCUGGGGCUGUAGCAGGUCCCAAGGGUAUGGCUGUUCGCCAUUUAAAGUGGUACGCGAGCUGGGUUCAGAACGUCGUGAGACAGUUCGGUCCCUAUCUGCCGUGGGCGUUGGAAACUUGAGGGUGAGCUGUCCUUAGUACGAGAGGACCGGGAUGGACGUAUCUCUGGUGUUCCGGUUGUCACGCCAGUGGCACUGCCGGGUAGCUAUAUACGGACGGGAUAACCGCUGAAAGCAUCUAAGCGGGAAGCCCCCCCCAAGAUUAGGUUUCCCUGGGAACUCGAUUCCCCUGAAGGGCCGUCGCAGACUACGACGUUGAUAGGCUGGGUGUGUACAUGCAGUAAUGCAUUUAGCUAACCAGUACUAAUUGCCCGUGAGGCUUGACCG
rnacentral:rRNA from 1 species